rnacentral:lncRNA from 1 species
CUCUCCUGGAAAUGGUCUCUGAUCCCUCUCUCUGGACUCCUAUUAGGAAUACUUCUUCACUGCUUACACAGGAAGUUUCCUGAAAGUUCCAAGAUUUCUACACCAGCCUCCAAGAUAUUGAGGAGGGAUGACUAGGAAUAAGACAAGAGUGUACCGAGUUCUGUGUUGUCCCGCAGUGUAGGGGAGAAAUAGGAGCCACACGAUGGUUUUGAUAAGGAAACCAGGUUCACUGAAAGUCAGAUCAAGAUAUUAUAAGAAUUCAGCUGAGAUUCACAUCCAGAUCUGACCAACCAACACACUUUCCUCUGGGACGUCAGUGUAUUUCACGUGCAGGCUCUGGUAUGUACUUCAGUGAUUAGAAU